AGGAACACUCUCAGAGCCCAUCCUAGAGCUGACGCGUAACCAUGUCACACGCUUGCUUUAUCUGUCUGUGUAGAUACAUCUCUAGAGCUAUGUAUUUUUUGCCGUAAGUUUGAAAGUAAGUUCCAGGCAUCAUCCCUAAAUACUUUCGUGUGCUUUUCUAAGAAUGAGGAUAUUCUCUAACCACAACACCAUUAUCAUCUGAAGAAAAUUAACAGUGAUUUGAGACGGAGGGAUUUUGGGAAUUAGUCAAGGCGUAAGCGUUGAGACCUUCGUUAGAUGAGGAGGUACUGUGUUGUAUUACUGUUCGCAAAGCUUCCUUUGAGCUUGGUCCCCCUGCGGGGCAGCUGGAGAAAGAUGGAAUGACACUCCCAUUCCAAAGUUUGAGAUCUCCAGGGGAGCAGAGCACCACGCUAGUAGGGUAGGUGCUUGGGAUGUGCACAGGGAACACGUCCCAGGCCAGAGGCCACCCCUGGGUCCCCCUUCAUGCUCCUGGGCAUAGAGGCUCCUGUUUUCCCAGUUCUGCCCCGUCCAGAGGAGAGGGGGGUGGAGCUUGGCAGGCAGAUUGGAUCUGGGCUGAAUCUCUGUGAGACCUGGGCUGAUUGGGCUUCCCCGCGACCAAGUCCUCAGCUCCCCUUGGGGUCACGGAAGCUAAGCUUGGGUGGGGAGAUGUGGGGCCUUCCCAGGUGCUGAGCAACCCUUUUCUUUACCCUGUGGAGGGGACCUGGAGACAGGGACAGUGGAGGGGUUCAAGUGCCAAAAUCUCCCCAUCUCGACCCAGGGCUGAGAUGGGUCCCUGGAUCUUCCAGCUAUGAUGUCCCCAAGAAUCUGCAAAAUCUCCCACGACUCCUUCUGAUGGGGGGUGUGCGUUGGGGCGUGCCCAGGUGAGAGCUGCAGAUGGAGGCUGUGGGGUGACUGCAUUUAUCUGUGGGUGUGACCGAGCAUCUCACAGGUCCAGGAGGGUGGUCCUCAUAUGUGCACAGAGACUGGAGGGGCGAGGGUGCAUUUUGGUGCAUGUAUGGAUGUCCCAAGAGCAGAUCUGGGGUGUUCUCAUGUCAGAAUGUGGGUCUGUGCUCUGUGUAAUGUUAGAAAUAGGGCUUUGGGAACAGAAUAUUAUUCAGCCUUAAAAAGGGGCAAAAUUACAACACAUGCUACAACACGGUGAACCUGGAGGAUGUUAUACUAAGUGAAAUAAGCCAGUUACAAAAAGACAAUGCAGAAUGAAUCCAGUUAUAUGAGG
rnacentral:lncRNA from 10 species